rnacentral:rRNA from 1 species
UACGGGGGGGGCUAGCGUUGUUCGGAAUUACUGGGCGUAAAGGGCGCGUAGGCGGCCUACUAAGUCGGACGUGAAAUCCCUCGGCUCAACCGGGGAACUGCGUCCGAUACCGGUGGGCUCGAAUCCGGGAGAGGGAUGUGGAAUUCCGAGGUGUAGCAGUGAAAUGCGUAGAUAUCUGGAGGAACACCGGUGGCGAAGGCGGCAUCCUGGACCGGUAUUGACGCUGAUGCGCGAAAGCCAGGGGAGCAAAGCGGGAUUAAGCAAAC